rfam:Ictidomys tridecemlineatus contig114943, whole genome shotgun sequence.
AGGGUUGUGGCUCAGUGGUAGAGCGCUUGUCUCGCAUGCGUGAGGCCCUGGGUUCCAUCCUCAGCACCACAU